rnacentral:rRNA from 1 species
UUGAACGCUGGCGGCAUGCCUUACNCAUGCAAGUCGAACGGCAGCACGGGAGCAAUCCUGGUGGCGAGUGGACGAACGGGUGAGUAAUAUACGUCGGAACGUGCCCAGUCGUGGGGGAUAACGUAGCGAAAGUUACGCUAAUACCGCAUACGAUCUACGGAUGAAAGCGGGGGACUCGCAAGAGCCUCGCGCGAUUGGAGCGGCCGAUAUCAGAUUAGGUAGUUGGUGGGGUAAAGGCUCACCAAGCCAACGAUCUGUAGCUGGUCUGAGAGGACGGCCAGCCACACUGGAACUGAGACACGGUCCAGACUCCUACGGGAGGCAGCAGUGGGGAAUAUUGGACAAUGGGCGAAAGCCUGAUCCAGCCAUGCCGCGUGUGUGAAGAAGGUCUUCGGAUUGUAAAGCACUUUAAGUUGGGAGGAAGGGUAGUAACCUAAUACGUUGCUACUUUGACGUUACCGACAGAAUAAGCACCGGCUAACUACGUG